CUUUUGUCUUUUAAGAAAUCUUCCAAUCUCUAUGAAAAGUAAAAAAAAAAAAUUAAAAAAUUGCUUUUUACUGAGCUUAUAAAAAUUAGUUCAGAGUUAUCCCCACUUUGAUCUUUUUGUUGAAUGUUUUUUUUAUGUUUUCAACUUGUAUAACCAAUAUGUGGUGUUUAACAUUUAUCAAUAUUUUUUAGUCUCCCCCCCCUAAAAUACACCAAAUUAACUUCUAUGAUAAAUAUAAAACAUUUCUUUAACUAAACAAAAGUAAAAGUUUCUAAAUGUUAUUAUGUUACCACCAUGUUGUCUUAACCAUAAAAGUAUAAAACUGUGGACAAUUUCUUCCUGCUUAAAUCAUUUAUUGGAUUCUGUUUUUUUUUUUUUUAGAUAUAUUUUGUUCUUUAGUCCCACCUCUUGUCGUUAUUCUUUUAUCCACCAAAUAUUUAACCACCAGCAGGGGAGGUAUGUCUUCCUUUAUCCAAUCAUUUUGUAGUCCCGCUAAAUUUUUUCUGGAGAUUGUACAUUGAGGCUCAAAGAUUGUAUCAGAAACAGUGAAAAAUCAAUUCACAAUUAAAUAUGUAUUUGAGCGGUUAGGAAAAUCCAGCAUUCUUCAUGCAUUACAUUGUCAUUCAUACAACCUAAAAAAAUCAUGCUUUGAAAAAGUCAUUAUAAGGUAUCAAAGAUGUCUUCCAUCUUGUAGAUUGUGCCUUGAAUCAUUCAGAUUUUGUCAUGCAUAUAAAAACAAAAAGAAUUUGAUUAGAAUACAGAAUUUGUAAUUAUAUUUAAUAGAAGUUGGAAUUGACAAAAAGUUUGAUAACUGACUUAUCAGGAAACUUGUGUGUGUUUAAAGAAAAACAAGAGUUACUUAGAAUUGCAAGUAUCACCAAUGAGCCUCAAUGUUCAAUUUUUGUAUAUAGAAAAUAGUUAUGCAUGUAUAAAUUGCAAAAUUAUUAUAAAUCAUCAAAAAUUUCCAAAUUCAGAUAUAUACCAUUAUAACUUGUAUGCAAUACCAUUUAAAUGUCAAGUAAGCUAGUCAUUAGAAGCAGCCCAAUAUUUACCAAGCCUUAAUUUACACCAAAUUAAUCUAUAAAGCCAAGUAACCUGUUCUUAUCAGCAAUAAUAGUUGAAUAAUGGCAGACGAUCAUUCAUAUUUUUUACAGGUCAUAUUGCAAAAAAAUAUCAUAUCAUCAAAUUUACUGAGAUUAAAAUUUAUAGUACUUAUGUUUUUUUUGUCCAGGACUUAAAAUGUAAAAUGUUCUGAUAUUAUUUUUCAUUGCAAAUUAAAAGCAUACAAACUCAGCUUGUCUAAUCACCAAAGAAAAUUAUACAUAGGUUUUUGAUUGGUUUAUUUGAAAAAAGUUGAAUGGUACAGAUAAUCUGAUUGGUGAAAAAAUAAUCUUAAGUGCCAUAUAUGGAGAUGUUUUUUUUGUCUAGUCAUGAUACAAGGUCAGCUGCAUUCCAGUGUUUUAAGAAAUUCAAUCUUUUGAUGUGAUGGCUGUGAUUAAAAUGCAAUCAUGAUUUUAAGGGAUGUAAAACUUUUUAAUUUUACAUGGUUGUUUUAAUAAUUUUUAGACUUCAAUUGUGAUAAAUUAACUUUUGAGUAAAAUAUGACAAAUGUUUUUUCUUCAAAAUUUAUUCACAUAUAAUGGAGAUAUAUAUGAAAUUAUAUUUGAAAUUUUUUUUCUACUAUUGAACUUUGACAAAUUCAUGAAAAUCCUGGCAUGACAAGGUUAUGAACAAGAAAAAUUGCUCAAACAUAAAAAAAAGCAAAAACCGUACAAAUUAAAUAUUUAUCAUGACAAUAAUGGUUUUAUUUUAAGUCACUAAAUAAUGUUUGAUGUUUUGUUGUUUCAUUCCACCAACCAUCCCUUAAGAUAAUGUAAGAUGAUACAAUGUUAACUAGUCUUGUUGUCAUGGUUGAGAUUCCAGGGUCUGCUGAACAGAAAGUUUGACACAUUUCUUCAUGUUUAACUCUAUUGUUUCAAUAUUUGAAGAUUGAUAGAAUUAUUCACUGAUUGAUCGAGUAAUUCAUAAUCCCUGCAUAUGAGUUUGUUUAUGCAGAAAGUUUCAGUCUAUAGAUGAAGCAAUCUUCUUCGCAAAUAUUAAUUUCUAUUCAAAUUUUGAUCAGAAGUUGAACUUCAAAAAUCCAUGAUAUUCUGUUUGAUUAGAAAUCCAAAAGUCUAUCAGAGGAAGUCCCAUUAAAGAUUGCUGGCUAUAUAACUAUGACAACCUUUCUGUUCAGCAUAAAAUAAUGUGGUAAUUAAUUGUGGUAUUUUGUGAACUUGUCACAUGCAACUCCAUGGUCCAAUCUGAUUGGUACAUAUCAUGUCAUGUGACAUAUCUUAGACCAAUCACACCAUUUCAGAGUUUCCAUGGUUGCAAUAGCAUGAAGACAAGUCUACAGAACUAUUGAUUUGCAUAUUUUAUAUAUUUGUUUUAUUUAAUGUUAUUGUGUGGGUGCUUUGUAUAAAUGUAUUUGUAUAUAAUAAUCAAAUUUCAUUAUAUUUUCCAUAAUGAUUAAAGUGUGUAAACAAAUAAUAUUAUGAAGGUACCAAACAGUCUUUUCUGUGUGAAAAUAAACAAAACAAUGGAGUAAUUUUUAAUAAUAUUGAUUUUGUUUAUUAUGAAUAUUUCAUAGUAUCAUGCUCUUUAUCAAAAUGGAUUUUUUUGUGUAUUUAUGUUCAUAAAUUGACAUGAUUUCCAAAGAUUUUUAACGACUAAAUAUAUGUGACCUUUAGACCUGUAAAGUUUGCAUUAUGCAUGCUGCCAUAGUAAGGCUUCCUCCUCUAGCAGUGUCAAAACUUGCCAGCAUUGAAUCUCAUCAGACAGAGUUUGGUGGAAAUAAAAUAAGACAUAAAAUAGGGACUAUUUCAGAAAAAAAAUGUUUUGGGGUUUAGCGGCACAUGUUUUUAGCGUGCAGUAUUUAUAGAAUUUGAUAUAAAAUAAUCCAGGUUAGAUCUUCCGCAAAUGGAAAUGUGAAAAGUACUUUAGCUUCAUUGCAAUUCUUUCUGGAAUUACCAAUAACAGAAAAUAAAUCUCAAAAUCGUAACCGAUAAGUUUCAUAUACCAAUAUGCAUUUAUUAAAUUUUGGAGGUGAAAACAAACCAUGUUUACUAAAGAAAAGUGCAUAUAUUUUACUGAUUUUAUUAAGAUUACUUUGUGGAUCUGUUUAAAAUUAAGUCUUGAAAAGUGUAUGCUUGAUUUAGGUUUCUUAUGAUCAUAAUGACAUGAAUUGAAUCUGAUGGUUAAAGAUCUGUUAUGUAAUCUCAAAACACCAAACUCUAGUCUGCAGAAAAUAGUCAUAUCCCAACCAUGUCUUAUCAUCAAAAACAUUUCAGAAUAAUCUAAAAGGGUAAUUGAAUGUUUGAGUGAAUGCUUUUAACACAAAAAUUUCUUGUGAACAUUUUAUUUUUGACCACUCUAUUAAGAAAGUAAAUAAUGGAGUAAAUGACUAUAUAAAAUAUAUCAAUAAAAUUCUCUAUUUAGUCGGUAAACAUAUCUUUUUAUAGCAGCUAGCUGCAUUGUACACGACUAAUGAUUUAUGAUUAAAAUUUGUACCUUAAUUAUCAAUGAAAAAAUUGUUGUGCUUUUAAAUAUGAAAUCUAAAAAUAACCAGAUUGAAAUUUGGAUGUUUGUUGCUAAAAAAAUCUUAUUUAAAAGGACCAACACACAAAAUUAGGCAGCAAAACUUAUGUUUACAAAAAACAAAAUACCUUGUUUUAUGAUUUCUAAUUAUUUGUAACUAUCUUGAUUAAAAAGUAGUUAGGACUUUUCUUUUGUUUUAUAAACAAUAUAAGGGUCUUAUUAUGGCUCCCACCAAAUUGAUUGAGAUAAUUAAAUAUUGAAUGAUUUUCAGAUUUGGAAAUAACUUGGAAAUUAUAAGUUUUAAUAUCAAUUUUUCAACAUGUAGGUAUUGACUUAAUGUAUGUAGUUAUUGAUUGAAAGGAUAAGUUGGUAAAGGUAUUCCUGUUACAAAAAUUAUGGCCCAUGUUGUAACCUGAUAUUGAAAAGGACAUUUUCUGGGUCAUAGAUGUAAUAAAAUAAUUAAUCACAUGUUUCCUGAUCAAUGUGAAGGGAAGAUUCACUGCAAAAUACAAAGACUUUUUUUUUACAUCAUCAUCAAUGCUAAUAUGAUGAACAACAAGCUGUAAAGAUCAACUUCAAUAAAAUCAAAAACAACAAAAUAUGAGAACAAAGUUCGGUUUCAGAGUAAUAGCUUAAAGUUCAAUUGUCAUAAAAGUAGAUAAUAAAUAGAAUUCUAGUUGCUGCAUAUAGUUAUGUAAAGAAUUCAAGGAGUGUAUGACAUUCAGAAUGUUGAACAAACUCUUUGUAAGGUUAUUCCCUACAAAUGGCCUGAAAGGGUUAAUAGUCAAAUAAACAAAACUGCUAGCCGUUAUAUGAUUGGUUGGACUGGAUUCUUUAAAUUUUAAUUUAACCUCUUAAAGGUUUAACGAAUUUUUCAUGAAGCAUUCAUAACAUUACAUCAAUCGUUAAAUAGUUUGCUCAUGGAUCAAAUUCAAUUCAUUUAUUGUGCAGCACACCAACAAUUUAUGGUAUGUAACAAACUGGAAUACAAUCCAGUUUUAUUAAAAAAAAAAUCAAAUUUUGUAAUUAGAUAAAUAUAGUGAAUAUUUCUGUUUAUGUUCAUGGUUAAUCAUUGUUAAAAGAUAUGUAAAUUGAAACUACUCUCAACUAAAAAUAUAACUGCUGUAGAAUAGUUCCAAAUCUUCAUUUUAUAAGGCAACUAUCUUCUAAGUUUCAACUGUUUAUUUGUGUGGAGAUAUAUUAUAAAGAAACAAAUAGAUUAUAAUUAUCGAGGUCACUCAUUGUUGAAGUAAGUUUUUGGAAGAGCUUGAAGGGUAUUAAAGCAGCAGUUCUAAAUAUUUAACAUUCCUGAUAACUAUCAUGACCUUUGACCUUGUGAAUGACGACAUAUUAUGCAACCAUUUUUAAUUGUGUCACAUGCCACCACCACCAUUGUAAUGAGACUUGCACAUUAUUUUUGACAAGUCUAUGAAAAACCCCCGUUAGACCUGCUCCACCUUUGUAUGUAUAUUUGUGGUACCUGUUGCUUUUUACAGAGUCUAUAGUAUUUUAAUUUAAUAAAGUGUAUAUUACGUAUGAA
rnacentral:lncRNA from 1 species